rnacentral:rRNA from 1 species
GAUGAACGCUGGCGGCGUGCCUAAUACAUGCAAGUCGAGCGAACAGACGAGGAGCUUGCUCCUCUGACGUUAGCGGCGGACGGGUGAGUAACACGUGGAUAACCUACCUAUAAGACUGGGAUAACUUCGGGAAACCGGAGCUAAUACCGGAUAAUAUAUUGAACCGCAUGGUUCAAUAGUGAAAGACGGUUUUGCUGUCACUUAUAGAUGGAUCCGCGCCGCAUUAGCUAGUUGGUAAGGUAACGGCUUACCAAGGCAACGAUGCGUAGCCGACCUGAGAGGGUGAUCGGCCACGCUGGAACUGAGACACGGUCCAGACUCCUACGGGAGGCAGCAGUAGGGAAUCUUCCGCAAUGGGCGAAAGCCUGACGGAGCAACGCCGCGUGAGUGAUGAAGGUCUUCGGAUCGUAAAACUCUGUUAUUAGGGAAGAACAAAUGUGUAAGUAACUAUGCACGUCUUGACGGUACCUAAGCAGAAAGCCACGGCUAACUACGU